GAUUGCAGAUUCAGUGAUCAUCGAAUCUUUGAACGCAUCUUGCACCUUUUGGUAUUCCAAAAGGUACACCUGUUUGAGUGUCAUGA
rnacentral:rRNA from 1 species